GGAUCUUUACAAAGUGUUCGUCAUGCAUGCGGCAUGCAUGCGUCGGAUUAUGCGCAGUGAAGAGAACAGGUAAUGGUCAUGCUGUUGGCUGCUUUGCUGAGGAAAAGGGCCCUUGAUAGCCAGAUGAGACAUUUAUGGAACAAUCAGGACAAAAGAUGCCGUUUGUGUCAUUACAAAAGGAUUCUUUACACUUUACCUAUUGUCACUUCCAUUGCUUAUAACUGAGCUGCUGCAGUGCAUUAUGGGAUUCCCUUCUCUGCGAAGGAUGUCAGGUCUUUCUGUCGCUGGAGCCCACACAAGGGAUUCUGUGAAGCUGACUCCUCUGUAAAGCAUGUCCUCGCUCAACCACACAACAACAGGCGAAGGAGAAUUCCUGGCAUGCAGGCGAGUGGGAACGCUCAGUGUGAGCUAACGCAAGGUAGACGUGGAGAAUGCUGAGUGAAUGGCACCAUGUUGGAGGAAUGGUGGCCAGAAGCACAGAGAACGAGAUCACCCGGAUACUGCUCAUUCCUGCUCUGAUACUGUGCACUUGGGCUAUGUCGUCUUCCUUUGUUGUGCAGCAGUCUGUGCAUACAGUCAUGCGGUACUCAAACAGCAUGUGUGAUUGCCACCCAUCACAGAACAGCUAAUAUUCUGGUUUCUGUGGAGGAGAGGGGCCGUUUUGAGGUCCUGCAGUGCCCCACCUCUCUAUGGGGGACAGUGGAGGGCUUUGUUCCCCUCUCAUGCCUUGCAUUCCCCAUGCAGCCAGGCCCAUGUGCAAGGCAGAGUUCAUAGAGUGGGGACAGGAGCCUUUUCUCUUCUGCUAAAUCCAGCCCCAGGCACACCCAUUUAACACAAAAUGAACCUACGAUUCCGGGAUCCCUAUAAUUAAAUAAGAACAGCCUGAGACAAUGAGAGCAGAGUGGGAUGCUGUAAGGUGCUGGAUGGAUGUUUGGGUGGGGAUUAAUAUACGCCUGGCAGCAGGAGGCACAAAUAUUGUAUAAUAUCCUUUUGGCUUAGUGAGUAUGACACAGAAUCACACAUGAAUUUAGCUACUGAUUGUUGUUUUUUCAAAUAUCCGGUUCCCUACAUAUCAAUUAAUUUACAGUAAGGCCGGAGAUACUGAAAUCCUGAAGCUGCUUCAUUGUGUAAUACAAGACAGUUGAUACAGGAAGCUUAAAGUUGCAAUGAAUUGGAAGUGGCGACAAAUCUCUUCUUCUGUAUUGUAUACAAUCUUAAAAUAAAGAUUCUUUAUUUGCAUCUAUGGUUCCAUGAAAAAAAGGUUCUUUAUGGCAGAAAAUAGUUCCUCAGAUAAUUUAAAUGCUCUUCACACUGAGACAAAAAAGUUCUUAAAGGAUUAGUUCACUUCACAAUUAAAAAUUCCUGAAUUUACUCACCUCAAUGACAUCUAAGAUG